rnacentral:rRNA from 1 species
CCUACGGGAGGCAGCAGUGAGGAAUAUUGGUCAAUGGGCGCGAGCCUGAACCAGCCAAGUAGCGUGAAGGAUGACUGCCCUACGGGUUGUAAACUUCUUUUAUAAAGGAAUAAAGUGAGGCACGUGUGCCUUUUUGUAUGGACUUUAUGAAUAAGGAUCGGCUAACUUCGUGCCAGCAGCCGCGGUAAUACGGAGGAUCCGAGCGUUAUCCGGAUUUAUUGGGUUUAAAGGGAGCGUAAAUGGGUUGUUAAGUCAGUUGUGAAAGUUUGCGGCUCAACCGUAAAAUUGCAAUUGAUACUGGCAGUCUUGAGUACAGUUGAGGUAGGCGGAAUUCGUGGUGUAGCGGUGAAAUGCGUAGAUAUAACGAAGAACACCGAUUGCGAAGGCAGCUUACUAAGCUGCCACUGACAUUGAUGCUCGAAAGUGUGGGUAGCAAACAGGAUUAGAUACCCUUGUAGUC